UACGGGGGGGGGCAAGCGUUGUUCGGAAUUACUGGGCGUAAAGGGCUCGUAGGCGGCCAACUAAGUCGGACGUGAAAUCCCCAGGCUCAACCUGGGAACUGCAUGCAAAACUGGCAAGCUAGAGUAUGGUAGAGGGUGGUGGAAUUUCCUGUGUAGCGGUGAAAUGCGUAGAUAUAGGAAGGAACACCAGUGGCGAAGGCGACCACCUGGACUGAUACUGACACUGAGGUGCGAAAGCGUGGGGAGCAAACAGG
rnacentral:rRNA from 1 species